CGGGCAAAAGCGGAAAAUCGGCUGGUGCUGCAGCUGCCUGAGUUCUGUAGCCUCCUAGCUGGGUACAGCCGAGCAGAACUCUGCCCUAGUGCUGGAGAGCCUUGGUGUUCCCUCCCACCGCCCCCGCAGUAGGAAGCUAGCGCUGAAACGUGGGAGGCGUGGUAGCCGCCGACACUUAAUGCCUCUCUCCCGAGCGAUUUCCUGAAGGCUCUGCGGCCUGGAGACUGCACAUCGGGCAGGCUUGAAGUGUAUCGGAGGGUAAUCUGAACAGGCAAGCCGGUGACUCGGGGAUGGGAGGUGGUCCUGGGGGGGGGGUCCCUCCCCACCUUCAGAUGAGAAACUGCGAAGGCAGACAGCUCCAGCCUGAUGUCCCUGGGGGUACAGUGAAGCCCCGGACGCGGUCAGAGGUAACCCAGGAGGCUGCCUCUUUAUGCCGAAUUGUUCCCGGAGAAUUCACUCUCCACCACGUGAAAGGAAAAGACGAAAAGUUUGGGGACUCGAUAUAAGUCGAUUGUAGACCUCAAACACUGGGGAAGAAGAAGGAAUGAAUUUCCAUACAAGUUUGCCUGGGGCUGCCCAAACAGUUCUAUUAGAUGACAAUAGAAUUCAUCCUAAACAUGCAGGUAACUCAGAGAGUGCAGCCCUUUAGAGAGAACUCCAGGUUGGUGAGCCAUGUGAUUUUGGAUGAAGACACUGUUACUCUUAGAGGCUAACUCCUCCAGAUUGCCCAGCUACGCCAUGUCAGAGCCAGGGUUUGGAUUCACGCUUACCUGACUUCAAAGCCCAGCUACUCUGUUUAUUGCCAAACGACAGAAUCAGUCCUCAGCAUAGGAUCAACCAAGGAUGGGACCAUGGCAGCAGCAGGCUACCCCAGAAAUGCCUUGAAGGUCCACCUCCAGCUCCCGCUGAAGCCUCCUGGAUUCCACAUGCUCAGCACUGCUGUGGAGUUGCUGCAGGACCUCCGGGCUCAUUGGAUAUCUGGGGCUUCUGUUUGAAGCUGAAGACUGAAGAUGGGGCCAAAACCAGCUGAGUGACAGUAGUAAAACAUCCCUCAAUGAAAAUAUUUUCUAACCAGUCUAACCUUUCUGAAGUCAGACAGUAGUUGAAUAAAUCCUGAUAUUUUUAUUUGUCCUUUUGUCUUUCAAUGCUUGGGCAUGUUCUACUGGCUAGAGGCAUUUUCCUGUAUGUCUUUAAUGCAUUUACUCUCUGUAUGUUUUAUGUCACGGAAAUGUGCGUUUAAUUAAAUUUGAAAAUACAGAUCAUCAGGAUAUGUAGCCAGCCUCCAAGAUGGCCCCCACCUCCAGAUGUUCACACCUCUGAAUAGUCCGUUACCACAUUAUACCAGAGUUUGUCUUGUGUGAACAACAGAAUAUGCAAAGUGAUGUGUUAUUGCUGAGACUAGGUUAUAAAAGACUUUGCAGCUUCUGUCUUAGAACAAGUCUCUUUCUCUCUCAGAUCACUCGUUCUGAGGGAAGCCAUGUCACAAGCAGUCUUAUGGAGAGGCUUGUGUGGUGAAGAACUGAAGCCUCUGGCCAAUAGCCAUAUGAGUGUUCUUGGAAGAGAAUCCUCCAGCCCCAGUCAAGUUUUCAGAGGCUGCAGCCCCAGCUGCCCCCUUCCCCACAACCUCACUGGAGAUCCUGAGUCAAAACCAACCAGCUCAGCUGCUCUGGAUUUCUGGCCCUCAGAAACUGUGUGAAAUAAUAAAUGUUUGUUGUUUUA